rnacentral:rRNA from 1 species
GACGAACGCUGGCGGCGUGCUUAACACAUGCAAGUCGAACGGAAAGGCCCUGCUUUUGUGGGGUGCUCGAGUGGCGAACGGGUGAGUAACACGUGAGUAACCUGCCCUUGACUUUGGGAUAACUUCAGGAAACUGGGGCUAAUACCGGAUAGGAGCUCCUGCUGCAUGGCGGGGGUUGGAAAGUUUCGGCGGUUGGGGAUGGACUCGCGGCUUAUCAGCUUGUUGGUGGGGUAGUGGCUUACCAAGGCUUUGACGGGUAGCCGGCCUGAGAGGGUGACCGGCCACAUUGGGACUGAGAUACGGCCCAGACUCCUACGGGAGGCAGCGGUGGGGAAUAUUGCACAAUGGGCGGAAGCCUGAUGCAGCAACGCCGCGUGCGGGAUGACGGCCUUCGGGUUGUAAACCGCUUUCGCCUGUGACGAAGCGUGAGUGACGGUAAUGGGUAAAGAAGCACCGGCUAACUACGUG